rnacentral:rRNA from 1 species
AGAGUUUGAUCCUGGCUCAGGAUGAACGCUGGCGGCGUGCCUAACACAUGCAAGUCGAACGCGCUCCAUUCGGUAGCAAUACUGAUGAAGAGUGAGUGGCGAACGGGUGAGUAACACAUGAGCAACCUGCCCCGAAGACCGGGACAACACCGGGAAACCGGUGCUAAUACCGGAUAUCCCUAUCGGACCGCAUGAUCUGAUAAGGAAAUGGAUUCCGCUUCGGGAGGGGCUCGUGGCCUAUCAGCUAGUUGGUGGAGUAACGGCCCACCAAGGCAUCGACGGGUAGCUGGUCUGAGAGGACGAUCAGCCACACUGGGACUGAGACACGGCCCAGACUCCUACGGGAGGCAGCAGUGGGGAAUCUUGCGCAAUGGGCGAAAGCCUGACGCAGCAACGCCGCGUGGAGGACGAAGGCUUUCUGAGUUGUAAACUCCUUUCAGCAGGGACGAUAGUGACGGUACCUGCAGAAGAAGCACCGGCCAACUACGUGCCAGCAGCCGCGGUGAUACGUAGGGUGCAAGCGUUAUCCGGAUUUAUUGGGCGUAAAGAGCUCGUAGGCGGUUUGAUUAGUCGGGUGUGAAACCUCCAGGCUCAACCUGGAGCCGCCACUCGAUACUGUCAUGACUAGAAUUCGGUAGGGGACCACGGAAUUCCUGGUGUAGCGGUGAAAUGCGCAGAUAUCAGGAGGAACACCAGCAGCGAAGGCGGUGGUCUGGGCCGACAUUGACGCUGAGGAGCGAAAGCGUGGGGAGCGAACAGGAUUAGAUACCCUGGUAGUCCACGCCGUAAACGUUGGGCACUAUGUGUGGGGACUAUUCAACGGUUUCCGUGCCGCAGCUAACGCAUUAAGUGCCCCGCCUGGGGAGUACGGCCGCAAGGCUAAACUCAAAGGAAUUGACGGGACCCGCACAAGCGGCGGAGCAUGUGGCUUAUUCGAGGCACGCGAGACCUUACCUGGGUUUGACAUGUAGGGA